rnacentral:rRNA from 1 species
CCCUUAGACGUUCUGGGCCGCACGCGCGCUACACUGACCGGUGCAACAAGCAUCCGUCCUUGGCCGACAGGCCCGGGCAAUCUUUGAACGCUGGUCGUGAUGGGGAUAGACUUUUGCAAUUUUUGGUCUUCAACGAGGAAUUCCUAGUAAACGCAAGUCAUCAACUUGCAUUGAUUACGUCCCUGCCCUUUGUACACACCGCCCGUCGCACCUACCGAUUGAAUGGUCCGGUGAAGCCUCCGGAUUGGCGCGCACCUCGGUGCCGCCGAGAAGUUGGCUAAACCUUACCAUUUAGAGGAAGGUGAAGUCGUAACA